UACGUAGGGCGCAAGCGUUGUCCGGAAUUAUUGGGCGUAAAGAGCUCGUAGGCGGUUUGUCGCGUCUGCUGUGAAGCCCGGGCUCAACCCGGUCUGCAGUGGGUACGGCAGACUAGAGUGCAGUAGGGGAGACUGGAAUUCCUGGUGUAGCGGUGAAAUGCGCAGAUAUCAGGAGGACACCGAUGGCGAAGGCAGGUCUCUGGGCUGUUACUGACGCUGAGGAGCGAAAGCAUGGGAGCGAACAGGAUUAGAUACCCCGGUAGUCC
rnacentral:rRNA from 1 species